rnacentral:rRNA from 1 species
GCUCAAGUGGUCGUCGCUUUUAUUGGGCCUAAAACGUCCGUAGCCUGUUUGGUAAAUCUGUGGGUAAAUCAACUCGCUCAACGAGUUGAAUUCUGCAGAGACUGCCAGACUAGGGACCGGGAGAGGUGUGGGGUACUCGAGGGGUAGGGGUAAAAUCCUGUCAUCCUUCGAGGACCACCAGUUGCGAAGGCGCCACACUGGAACGGAUCCGACGGUCAGGGACGAAGCCUAGGGGCACGAACCGGAUUAGAUACCCGGGUAGUCCUAGGUGUAAACGCUGUGAACUUGGUGUCGGGGGUCCGCAAGGGGUCCCCGGUGCCGGAGUGAAGAUGUUAAGUUCACUGCCUGGGGAGUACGGUCGCAGCUCAAGUGGUCGUCGCUUUUAUUGGGCCUAAAACGUCCGUAGCCUGUUUGGUAAAUCUGUGGGUAAAUCAACUCGCUCAACGAGUUGAAUUCUGCAGAGACUGCCAGACUAGGGACCGGGAGAGGUGUGGGGUACUCGAGGGGUAGGGGUAAAAUCCUGUCAUCCUUCGAGGACCACCAGUUGCGAAGGCGCCACACUGGAACGGAUCCGACGGUCAGGGACGAAGCCUAGGGGCACGAACCGGAUUAGAUACCCGGGUAGUCCUAGGUGUAAACGCUGUGAACUUGGUGUCGGGGGUCCGCAAGGGGUCCCCGGUGCCGGAGUGAAGAUGUUAAGUUCACUGCCUGGGGAGUACGGUCGCA